AACGCUAGCUACAGGCUUAACACAUGCAAGUCGAGGGGCAGCAUUAGGUAGCAAUACUGAGAUGGCGACCGGCGCACGGGUGCGUAACGCGUAUCCAACCUUCCCGUUACUCUUGGAUAGCCUUCCGAAAGGGAGAUUAAGACAGGAUGGUGUUUGAAUUCCGCAUGUUAUUCAAACUAAAGAUUUAUCGGUAACGGAUGGGGAUGCGUGACAUUAGGUAGAUGGCGGGGUAACGGCCCACCAUGCCCACGAUGUCUAGGGGUUCUGAGAGGAAGGUCCCCCACACUGGAACUGAGACACGGUCCAGACUCCUACGGGAGGCAGCAGUGAGGAAUAUUGGUCAAUGGUCGGAAGACUGAACCAGCCAAGUAGCGUGAAGGAUGAAGGUUCUAUGGAUUGUAAACUUCUUUUAUACGGGAAUAAAACCACCUACGUGUAGGUGCUUGUAUGUACCGUAUGAAUAAGCAUCGGCUAACUCCGUGCCAGCAGCCGCGGUAAUACGGAGGAUGCGAGCGUUAUCCGGAUUUAUUGGGUUUAAAGGGAGCGUAGACGGGAGAUUAAGUCAGUUGUGAAAGGCUGCGGCUCAACCGCAGCACUGCAGUUGAUACUGGUUUCCUUGAGUGCGGUUGAGGUGUAUGGAAUUCGUGGUGUAGCGGUGAAAUGCUUAGAUAUCACGAAGAACUCCGAUUG
rnacentral:rRNA from 1 species